AAAGGGAGACCUAAUUCAGGUAGGAGACGAAAAAAAAGUAGUCGCUACCAAGAAUCAAUCCCAAAAGGUCGGAACGAGGUAUGUGGCUUUCAAACUAGGUUCUGGGUUCAAACAAGACCUGAAUCAGGAACAAGGGCUAUUAGCUCAGGUGGUUAGAGCGCACCCCUGAUAAGGGUGAGGUCCCUGGUUCGAGUCCAGGAUGGCCCACCUGCACAGGUGGCAAAAACAAGAGAAGCUCCGAAUCAGCACCUUAUCUUACUUAUAUAGUAAGAGAGAAUGCUGGCUCUGAGUAAAGAGUCCAGAGGAACCUUGAAAACUGCAUAGAGCUAGGUGAAAAAGCCAAAAAAGAAGACCGCAAG
rnacentral:tRNA from 1 species